rnacentral:rRNA from 1 species
AUUGAACGCUGGCGGCAUGCCUUACACAUGCAAGUCGAACGGCAGCACGGGAGCAAUCCUGGUGGCGAGUGGCGAACGGGUGAGUAAUAUAUCGGAACGUGCCCAGUAGUGGGGGAUAACUGCUCGAAAGAGCAGCUAAUACCGCAUACGACCUGAGGGUGAAAGGGGGGGAUCGCAAGACCUCUCGCUAUUGGAGCGGCCGAUAUCAGAUUAGCUAGUUGGUGGGGUAAAGGCCUACCAAGGCAACGAUCUGUAGUUGGUCUGAGAGGACGGCGAGCCACACUGGGAAUGAGACACGGCCCAGACUGCUACGGGAGGCAGCAGUGGGGAAUUUUGGGCAAUGGGCGCAAGCCUGAUCCAGCAAUGCCGCGUGCAGGAAGAAGGCCUUCGGGUUGUAAACUGCUUUUGUCAGGGAAGAAAUCCUCUAGGUUAAUACCCUUGGGGGGAUGACGGUACCUGAAGAAUAAGCACCGGCUAACUACGUGCCAGCAGCCGCCGUAACAC